CCAGACUCCUACGGGAGGCAGCAGUGAGGAAUAUUGGUCAAUGGGCUUACGCCUGAACCAGCCAAGUCGCGUGAGGGAAGACUGCCCUAUGGGUUGUAAACCUCUUUUGUCAGGGAGCAAUUGGCGCUACGUGUAGCGUUAUCGAGAGUACCUGAAGAAAAAGCAUCGGCUAACUCCGUGCCAGCAGCCGCGGUAAUACGGAGGAUGCGAGCGUUAUCCGGAUUUGUUGGGUUUAAAGGGUGCGUAGGCGGGCUUUUAAGUCAGCGGUAAAAAUUCGGGGCUCAACCCCGUCCGGCCGUUGAAACUGGCGUUCUUGAGUGAGCGAGAAGUAUGCGGAAUGCGUGGUGUAGCGGUGAAAUGCAUAGAUAUCACGCAGAGCUCCGAUUGCGAAGGCAGCAUACCGGCGCCCAACUGACGCUCAUGCACGAAAGCGUGGGUAUCGAACAGGAUUAGAUACCCCCGUACCA
rnacentral:rRNA from 1 species